CUCCAAUCAUUAGUUGAGGGUUUGAACAGAACAAAAAGGCAGACUCUCCUGUGAUUAAGAGAGAAUUCUUCCCAUUUGACUCCUUGAGCUGGGACAUCACUAUUUUCCUGCUUUUGGAUUCCAACUGAAGCACCAGCUUUUCUUGGGUUGCAAGCCUUCUGGCUUUCAUACUGAAACUACAUCAUCAACUCUCUUAAGUCUCCAGCUUGCCAACUGAAGAUCUUCAGACUUCUCAGCCUCCAUAAUUGUGCAAGUUCUCCGUGAAUUACAGCAAACAUGGCUCUAAGAGUGGCUGACUGCGUGCAGCUGUGAACACCCACCAUGUUAGUAAGGAAGAGUCCCUGCAUCCAUAGCCAACUCUGGUAAAGUUCUCUGGAGCCAAAUCAAGCUAGGUUCUAGGGCUCGUGGACUCAGUAGCUGUGGUGCAUGGGCUUAGUUGCCCUGUGGCAUGAAGAAUCUUCCCAGACCAAGUAUGAAACCAAUGUCCUCUGCAUUGGAAGGCAGAUUGUUAACCACUGGACCACCAGGAAAGUCCUAGCCUAUUACUUUUUAGACUCUCUGCAUAGUUUGCCUUUAGGUCCACUUUGCACUAUUUAUUAGCAGGCAUUUUCAUUAAUGUUCAGUUCCAAGUGUUUUCUAAUUUUGUUUCUUUUCUUUGACUCAUGAGUAUAUAGAAGGAUAUCUGUAAUUUUAAUUGUCC
ensembl:lncRNA